UACGUAGGGUCCGAGCGUUGUCCGGAAUUACUGGGCGUAAAGAGCUCGUAGGUGGUUUGUCGCGUUGUCCGUGAAAACUCACAGCUCAACUGUGGGCGUGCGGGCGAUACGGGCAGACUGGAGUACUGCAGGGGAGACUGGAAUUCCUGGUGUAGCGGUGGAAUGCGCAGAUAUCAGGAGGAACACCGGUGGCGAAGGCGGGUCUCUGGGGCAGUAACUGACGCUGAGGAGCGAAAGCGUGGGGGAGCGAACAGG
rnacentral:rRNA from 1 species